CCUCAGUAGCGGCGAGCGAAGGGGGAGGAGCCCAAACCGACCCUAACACAGAGUGAAUAGUAGUCGGCGGAUAGGGAGCAGCGACGGGCGAAAAACCGACGAAGGUUGUUUGCACUAUUCACUGGAACCCAUCUCAACAUCGGUUUUCUCUUUUUUGUCAUUCCGUGCUUGACACGGAAUCCAGUGACGUUGCCGUUUUACUCUUUAAAAACAAAGAAUGACGGAUCACAGAGGGAAAACACGUACGAUGCUGGGUACCGGCAUCCGCCGGUGUGACGUGAUUGUGGGAUAGGGUCUAGUGACUUUUCACUAUUCACUGUGUGUUAGGGUUGGGGUUGUAGGACCGCGGGAGUAGGAACACCGUACUGUAGCCGAAUGUUCUGGAAAGGGCAUCCGGAGAGGGUGACAGGCCCGUAGGCGAAACGGUAUGGACACCGAAGCGGUAUCCUGAGUACCACGGGGCACGUGGAAUCCUGUGGGAAGCAGGGGGGACCACCCUCCAAGGCUAAAGACUCCCUGAUGACCGAUAGUGGACGAGUACCGUGAGGGAAAGGUGAAAAGAACCCUGGUGAAGGGAGUGAAAGAGAACCUGAAACCGUAUGCCUACAAGCAAUCAGAGUCCCGCCACUGGCGGGAUGAUGGUGUGCCUUUUGAUUAAUGAGCCGGCGAGUUACUGGCGGUAGCGAGGUUAAUCCCGUGAACGGGAGGAGCCGGAGGGAAACCGAGUCUUAACAGGGCGCAUGAGUUACUGUCAGUAGACCCGAAGCCAGGUGAUCUACCCAUGGGCAGGGUGAAGUCCCGGUAAAACGGGAUGGAGGCCCGAACCGGUGUUUGUUGCAAAAAGCUCGGAUGAUCUGUGGGUAGGGGUGAAAGGCCAAUCAAACCUGGUGAUAGCUGGUACUCCCCGAAAUGUAUUUAGGUACAGCCUCAGUGCAGUCCCACGGGGGUAGGGCACUGGAUGGGCUAGGGCCUCGUAUGGGGUACCAAACCCAACCAAACCACGAAUACCGUGGCGAUGGUCGCUGGGAGUGAGACUACGGGUGCUAAGAUUCGUGGUCGAGAGGGAAACAGCCCAGAUCGUCAGCUAAGGUCCCUAAGGGUAUGCUCAGUGGGAAAGGAUGUGGUGUUGCGCAGACAGCCAGGAUGUUGGCUUAGAAGCAGCCAUCAUUGAAAGAAAGCGUAACAGCUCACUGGUCAAGCGACACUGCGCCGAAAAUUCAACGGGGCUAAGCAUACCACCGAAGCUACGGACUUCAGUGCUUCGCACUGGAAAUUCCAAUAACCGAGCACCAAGAGACAAAGAAUAACCACUAACCAAAUAACCAUACCCAAACACACUUUGACGGAAGGGGUGAUUAAUUGGAUAAUUGGGAUGUUGGAAUUUCUUUGGAAGGUGUGAUUUGCAAUUUGGUUAUUAGAAGAUUGGAGUUUACCAGUGCGGAGCAUUGGAGUGGUAGGGGAGCAUUCUGUAGGCCUGUGAAGGCGGGUCGUGAGGCCUGCUGGAGGUGGCAGAAGAGAGUAUGCCGGCAUAAGUAGCGCAAAUUCUGAUGAAAAGUCAGGACGCCGUAAACCUAAGGUUUCCUGGGGAAGGGACAUCCGCCCAGGGUUAGUCGGACCUAAGGCGAGGCCGAGAGGCGUAGCUGAUGGAUGACUGGUUAAUAGUCCAGUACCGUCUUGUGUGCGUUUGACCGAAGGGGUGACGCAGGAGGAUAGUCCGGGCCUGGUGAUGGUUCAGGUCCAAGCGUUGAGGCUGGUGGUUAGGCAAAUCCGGCCACCGUGAAGGCCGGGGCGUGAUGGGGAAGGCCGCAAGGCUGAACUCGGGCGAUUUCACGCUGACGAGAAAACCCUCGUAGGGAGCACAUGGGACGACCGUACCGCAAACCGACACAGGUAGGUGGGUAGAAGAUACCAAGGCGUUCGAGAGAACCCUCGCUAAGGAACUCGGCAAAGUGGCCCCGUAACUUCGGGAGAAGGGGUCCCUCCGCAAGGAGGGCGCAGUGAAGAGGCUCAGGCGACUGUUUAGCAAAAACACAGGUGUCUGCGAACUCGCAAGAGGAGGUAUAGGCACUGACGCCUGCCCGGUGCCGGAAGGUUAAUGGGAGAGGUCAUCUUCGCAAGGGGAGAAGCCUUGAACUGAAGCCCUGGUAAACGGCGGCCGUAACUAUAACGGUCCUAAGGUAGCGAAAUUCCUUGUCGGGUAAGUUCCGACC
rnacentral:rRNA from 1 species